GCGAAGGUGGCGGAAUUGGUAGACGCGCUAGCUUCAGGUGUUAGUGUCCUUACGGACGUGGGGGUUCAAGUCCCCCCCUCCGCACCA
rnacentral:tRNA from 1 species